CCCGAUGAAGAAGCAAUCCCAUAGAUAGGAAGUGCCGUAUGACACUUUACACAACAACGGACUGAACGACGAUGCAUCCGGUGAAAUCUCCCAAUCCCCGAUCAGUCAAACACGAACUCGUAUCCGGAUCCAAACCCCCGGAUCCGUUUACGGUCGGGUACUGACUCCUCGGCCGGGUCUUCACCGUACUUCCCACCGUUCUGUGUCCGUUGUGUGGUUGAUUUGACAAGGGUUCGCUGAGGG
rnacentral:snoRNA from 1 species